rnacentral:rRNA from 1 species
CCUACGGGAGGCUGCAGUCGAGAAUCAUUCACAAUGGGGGAAACCCUGAUGGUGCGACGCCGCGUGGGGGAAUGAAGGUCUUCGGAUUGUAAACCCCUGUCAUGUGGGAGCAAAUUAAAAAGAUAGUACCACAAGAGGAAGAGACGGCUAACUCUGUGCCAGCAGCCGCGGUAAUACAGAGGUCUCAAGCGUUGUUCGGCAUCACUGGGCGUAAAGCGUGCGUAGGCUGUUUCGUAAGUCGUGUGUGAAAGGCGGGGGCUCAACCCGCGGACGGCACAUGAUACUGCGAGACUAGAGUAAUGGAGGGGGAACCGGAAUGCUCGGUGUAGCAGUGAAAUGCGUAGAUAUCGAGAGGAACACUCGUGGCGAAGGCGGGUUCCUGGACAUUAACUGACGCUGAGGCACGAAGGCCAGGGGAGCGAAAGGGAUUAGAUACCCUUGUAGUC